CCUACGGGAGGCAGCAGUGAGGAAUAUUGGUCAAUGGACGAGAGUCUGAACCAGCCAAGUAGCGUGAAGGAUGACUGCCCUAUGGGUUGUAAACUUCUUUUAUAUGGGAAUAAAAUGUUCCACGUGUGGGAUUUUGUAUGUACCAUAUGAAUAAGGAUCGGCUAACUCCGUGCCAGCAGCCGCGGUAAUACGGAGGAUCCGAGCGUUAUCCGGAUUUAUUGGGUUUAAAGGGAGCGUAGGUGGAUUGUUAAGUCAGUUGUGAAAGUUUGCGGCUCAACCGUAAAAUUGCAGUUGAAACUGGCAGUCUUGAGUACAGGAGAGGUGGGCGGAAUUCGUGGUGUAGCGGUGAAAUGCUUAGAUAUCACGAAGAACUCCGAUUGCGAAGGCAGUUCACUGGACUGCAACUGACACUGAGGCACGAAAGUGUGGGUAUCAAACAGGAUUAGAUACCCCUGUAGUC
rnacentral:rRNA from 1 species